CAGACCCGGUUUAGGGUAAAGGUUCAGGGGGUAGAGUUGGGAAUAGAUUACAGACCCGGUUUAGGGUAAAGGUUCAGGGGGUAGAGUUGGGAAUAGAUUACAGACCCGGUCUAGGGUAAAGAUUUGGGUUGUGGGACAGGUUUAGGAACUUUAUAACAACUAGAAAGUGGGUGGAAACUUACUCUUCAGAAUACUUGGAAUGUGAGUGGUUGUUGUUGGUGUUUCUAUUGUCCUGCAGGAGUUGGCAGAGAGGAUUACGCACAGGUAUCCUCCUGAGCAUCAACACACCGGGCACAAGGCGGUCUAGAUCUCAGGUCAGUAUUCAGGUAAGUAUUAGUAUGAUCAUGUAGCCUACUCCUUCUCAUUUAGCCAACUUAAUUCCAUUUUGCAUUGAUUAGAAAAAAAACACUUCACAUGGAGCCUCUUAAAAUAGGCCUAUAUAUUUCUCUAAAAAUGAUAUACUCUCCUAAGUAACUAAAUACUAACGUCUUUUCAAAUAAUCGUGCCCAUCCCCAAUGUAAGACUUUGUAGGCCUACAUUUAAGUUUACAGCCUAUGCAAUGACUAUUGGGCCAUAGCAGUGUUCGACCAAAGUCGACGGAGUGUAGUGCAGUGUUGCAAUUUCAUUUUUUCGUCACAAAACGAGUGGCUCCUUGUAAUAUGCUUCGUUGUUCAACGCCGUUUUAUUCCACCUGGAAAUUGAAACUCAACGUAUCAUUCCUUGCGAAGACUGAGGGGAAGUAUUGAGUGUUGAAAGGGUAUAGUGUUUUGGACAGUCCAGAGAUGGAGCAGAGCCCUGAGGGCCAAUCUACAGAUGGUUCAUCGGCCCCUGAGUUAUCAUCUCCCUGGCCUGGUUCAUCACCUCUCCGGCCCAUUUCCCAACCCCCAGGCCCUUCUCACCAACAGCCAAUGAACCAUCCAGGUGCCCCCUUGUUCUCUGCAGCGGGCUCUGAUUGUAGUGUAAUAAAACAGGCAAGCAGCGUCUCGUCUGUGGUGGUCAGCGAACUCUCAACCUUCUGGCCUGUAGCCCUGCGUGGCAUCGAUUGUGCCACAAAAGCAUGCUGAAGUGAUAGUCGAUAUUCACUCUUAUAAAUAAAGGGUCUCUACAGUUA